rnacentral:rRNA from 1 species
CCAGAGGUCACUGCUAUCGGGGCUCGAUUAAGCCAUGCGAGUCGAGAGGGUUCGGCCCUCGGCGUACUGCUCAGUAACACGUGGAUAACCUGCCCUAAGGAAGGGGAUAACCUCGGGAAACUGAGGAUAAUACCCUAUAGGAUACCGAUGCUGGAAUGCCCGGUAUCCCAAAGCUCCGGCGCCUUAGGAUGGAUCUGCGGCCGAUUAGGUCGUUGUUGGGGUAACGGCCCAACAAGCCGAUAAUCGGUACGGGUUGUGGGAGCAAGAGCCCGGAGUUGGAUUCUGAGACACGAAUCCAGGCCCUACGGGGCGCAGCAGGCGCGAAAACUUUACAAUGCGGGCAACCGUGAUAAGGGAACCUCGAGUGCCUGUACAUGCAGGCUGUCUGGGUGUCUAAAACACACCCAAAGAAAGGGCCGGGCAAGACCGGUGCCAGCCGCCGCGGUAAUACCGGCGGCUCGAGUGGUGGCCACUUUUAUUGGGCUUAAAGCGUUCGUAGCUGGGUUGUUAAGUCUCUUGGGAAAUCUGGCAGCUUAACUGUCAGGCGUCUAAGAGAUACUGGCAAUCUAGGAACCGGGAGAGGUGAGGGGUACUUCGGGGGUAGGAGUGAAAUCCUGUAAUCCUCGAGGGACCACCUGUGGCGAAGGCGCCUCACCAGAACGGCUUCGACAGUGAGGGACGAAAGCUGGGGGAGCAAACCGGAUUAGAUACCCGGGUAGUCCCAGCCGUAAACGAUGCGCGUUAGGUGUGUCGAUGACCACGAGUCAUCGAGGUGCCGAAGGGAAACCGUGAAACGCGCCGCCUGGGAAGUACGGUCGCAAGGCUGAAACUUAAAGGAAUUGGCGGGGGAGCACCACAACAGGUGGAGCCUGCGGUUUAAUUGGACUCAACGCCGGGAAGCUCACCGGAUAGGACAGCAGAAUGAUUGCCGGGCUGAAGACUCUGCAUGACUAGCUGAGAGGAGGUGCAUGGCCGUCGUCAGUUCGUACUGUGAAGCAUCCUGUUAAGUCAGGCAACGAGCGAGACCC